AGGAGAUCAAAAUUCUCUCUCUUUUAGAAUCUAAACUUAAAAGUGAGCUUCUCUUUCGGUCGUCACCGGCCAGAUCCUUUAUCGUAGCUGGUCAUAGACUCCAUGGUCGAUAGCCAUAUCCUUUAUCUUUUCAGGCAUACCUGGUCAUUCUCUGAGUUGUAGCCAUGGUUACGGAUUUUGAGCAUAUGUGUAUCAGCACAAUCACAACCUCUCUGAUGAGUGAAAUCUAGUUAUGAUGUAACGACUUUGGAAGGACAUACAUCUAAGGUUUGACCGCAUCAUUAUAAAUUUCUCCUAAUCUGACAAAAUUUCUUUAUAGCAAAAAUGAUAAAUAUCAUACCUUUUUUGUAUUCUAUAUUAACAUUACAUUUUUUUUGUUUUUCCGGGUUUUUGAUUGUGCUUGGAGUCCAAAAGGGUCUUUUCUUGCAAUUGGGUAAGCAUUACUCCCAGUUUUUCAUUUUAUUGAUCUCGACUAUGUGUACUCAUGUUCAUAUCCCUACUUUUGUUUCUAAUUAUCUUGUAAUUUAUUAACCUUGGAAAUGACAAUCUUUAUAACCG
rnacentral:lncRNA from 1 species